rnacentral:rRNA from 1 species
AGCAUACAAAGGCAUACGGCUCAGUAACGCGUAGUCAACCUAACCUAUGGACGGGAAUAACCUCGGGAAACUGAGAAUAAUGCCCGAUAGAACAUUAUGCCUGGAAUGGUUUAUGUUCCAAAUGAUUUAUCGCCGUAGGAUGGGACUGCGGCCUAUCAGUUUGUUGGUGAGGUAAUGGCCCACCAAGACUAUUACAGGUACGGGCUCUGAGAGGAGUAGCCCGGAGAUGGGUACUGAGACACGGACCCAGGCCCUAUGGGGCGCAGCAGGCGAGAAAACUUUGCAAUGUGCGAAAGCACGACAAGGUUAAUCCGAGUGGUUUCUGCUAAAGAAACCUUUUGUCAGUCCUAGAAACACUGAUGAAUAAGGGGUGGGCAAGUUCUGGUGUCAGCCGCCGCGGUAAAACCAGCACCUCAAGUGGUCAGGAUGAUUAUUGGGCCUAAAGCAUCCGUAGCCGGCUCUGUAAGUUUUCGGUUAAAUCUGUACGCUCAACGUACAGGCUGCCGGGAAUACUGCAGAGCUAGGGAGUGGGAGAGGUAGACGGUACUCGGUAGGAAGGGGUAAAAUCCUUUGAUCUAUUGAUGACCACCUGUGGCGAAGGCGGUCUACCAGAACACGUCCGACGGUGAGGGAUGAAAGCUGGGGGAGCAAACCGGAUUAGAUACCCGGGUAGUCCCAGCUGUAAACUAUGCAAACUCAGUGAUGCAUUGGCUUGUGGCCAAUGCAGUGCUGCAGGGAAGCCGUUAAGUUUGCCGCCUGGGAAGUACGUACGCAAGUAUGAAACUUAAAGGAAUUGGCGGGGGAGCACCACAAGGGGUGAAGCCUGCGGUUCAAUUGGAGUCAACGCCGGG